UGAAUAUUCUGGAAUAUUUUUUCCUGGGAAUUACAGUGAUUUUUCCUGGCAUUUACAGUGAUUUUUCCCCCAGAUUUACACAGUUUUAUUUUUGGGAUCCAGCCCUUUUCCUGCAGUUAUUUUAUUAGGAUCCCACUGUUUCCCACAGGUUUGGGGUUUUUUUUGGGAUCCAGCAUUUCCUGCAGAUUUUUGGGGCAGAUCCAACCCUUUCCCAUUAUUUGGUUUUUUGGGGUUUUUUGGGAUCCAACCCUUUCCCAUUGUUUGAUUUUUUGGGGUUUUUUUGGGAUCCAACUCUUUCCCAUUGUUUGGUUUUUUUGGGAUCCAACCUUUUCCCAUUGUUUGAUUUUUUGGGGUUUUUUUGGGAUCCAACCUUUUCCCUCAGGUCUUUCCUUGGGAUCCAACCCUUUCCUGCAGCUUUUUGGGGCAGAUCCUUUCCCAUUGUUUGGUUUUUUGGGGUUUUUUUGGAAUCCAACUCUUUCCCACAGCAUUUUUUUUUUGGGAUCCAACCCUUUCCCUCAGGUGUUUUCUUGGGAUCCAACCCUUUCCCAGCAUUUUUUGGGGGGGGGGGAUCCAACCCUUUCCUGCAGCUUUUUGGGGCAGAUCCAACCCUUUCUCAUUGUUUGGUAUUUUGAGGUUUUUUUUGGAAUCCAACCCUUUCCCAUUGUUUGGUUUUUUUGGGAUCCAACCCUUUCCCAUUGUUUGGUUUUUUGGGGUUUUUUUUGGGAUCCAACCCUUUUCCACAGGAUUUUUUUGGGGGAUCUAACUCUUUCCCAGCGUUUUUUUUUUUGGGAUCCAACCCUUUCCCAGCAUUGUUUUGGGGCAGAUCCAACCUUUUCCCAUUGUUUGGGUUUUUGGGGUUUUUUUAGGAUCCAACCCUUUCCCUCAGGUCUUUCCUUGGGAUCCAACCCUUUCCCAGCAUUUUUUUUGGGGGAUCCAACCCUUUCCUGUAGCUUUUUGGGGAGAUCCAACUCUUUCCCACAGGACUUUUUUAGGAUCCAACCCUUUCCCACAGUUUUUUGGGGGGGAUCCAACCCUUUCCCAGCGUUUUUUCUUUGGGAUCCAACCCUUUCCUGCACCUUUUUGGGGCAGAUCCAACCCUUUCCCAUUGUUUGGGGUUUUUUGGGUUCCAACUCUUUCCCACAGGUGGUUUUUGGGGAUCCAACCCUUUCCCAGCAUUUUUUUUGGGGGGGAUCCAACCCUUUCCUGCACCUUUUUGGGGCAGAUCCAACUCUUUCCCACAGGACUUUUUUAGGAUCCAACCCUUUCCCAGCUUUUUUUUUUUGGGAUCCAACGCUUUCCUGCAGCUUUUUGGGGCAGAUCCAACCCUUUCCCAUUGUUUGGUUUUUUUGGGAUCUAACACUUUCCCAUUGUUUGGUUUUUUGGGUUUUUUUGGGAUCCAACCCUUUCCCAUUGUUUGGUUUUUUUGGGAUCCAACCCUUUCCCAGCGUUUUUUUUGGGAUCCAACCCUUUCCCAGCGGUUUUUUGGGGCAGAUCCAACCCUUUCCCAUUGUUUGAUUUUUUGGGGUUUUUUUGGGAUCCAACCUUUUCCCACAGCAUUGUUUUUGGGGAUCCAACUCUUUCCCUCAGGUGUUUUCUUGGAAUCCAACCCCUUCCCAGCUUUUUUUUUGGGGGGGAUCCAAUCCUUUCCUGCAGCUUUUUGGGGCAGAUCCAACCUUUUCCCAUUGUUUGGGGUUUUUUGGGUUCCAACUCUUUCCCACAGGUGGUUUUUGGGGAUCCAAACCUUUCCCAGUGGUUUUUUGGGGGACCCAACUCUUUCCUGCAGCAUUUUGGGGCAGAUCCUUUCCCAUUGUUUGGUUUUUUGGGGUUUUUUUGGGAUCCAACCCUUU
ensembl:lncRNA